rnacentral:rRNA from 1 species
UACAGAGGGGGCUAGCGUUAUUCGGAAUUAUUGGGCGUAAAGGGCGCGUAGGCGGCCAUGCGUGUCUUCCGUGAAAUCCCUCGGCUUAACUGAGGACGUGCGGAAGAAACUGCAAGGCUCGAGUCCGGGAGAGGGGGGUGGAAUUCCCAGUGUAGCGGUGAAAUGCGUAGAUAUUGGGAGGAACACCGGUGGCGAAGGCGGCCCCCUGGACCGGAACUGACGCUGAGGCGCGAAAGCGUGGGUAGCAGACGGG